UGGCCUUGACAUAAACAGAAUUCAGUAGAGAUAUAGAAGUGCUAGUUUACUAGAGCUGUUAUACAGGUGCUGCACGGCUGUCGUCAGCUCGUGUCGUGAGAUGUUGGGUUAAGUCCCGCAACGAGCGCAACCCUCGCUAAUAGUUAAUAACAGUUCGGCUGAUGACUCUAUUAGGACUGCCUACGCAAGUAGGAGGAAGGUGAGGACGACGUCAAGUCAUCAUGGCCCUUACGGCCAGGGCUACACACGUGCUACAAUGGGGUAUACAAAGAGCCGCAAUACCGCAAGGUGGAGCAAAUCUUUAAAAUAUCUCCCAGUUCGGAUUGAAGUCUGCAACUCGACUUCAUGAAGUUGGAAUCGCUAGUAAUCGUGAAUCAGCAAUGUCACGGUGAAUACGUUCCCGGGUCU
rnacentral:rRNA from 1 species